rnacentral:rRNA from 1 species
CCUACGGGAGGCAGCAGUGGGGAAUAUUGGACAAUGGGCGAAAGCCUGAUCCAGCAAUUCCGCGUGUGUGAAGAAGGCCUUCGGGUUGUAAAGCACUUUAGUGGGGGAAGAAACAGCUUGGCCACACCAAGCCUUGACGGUACCCCAAGAAUAAGCACCGGCUAACUCUGUGCCAGCAGCCGCGGUAAUACAGAGGGUGCAAGCGUUAAUCGGAUUUACUGGGCGUAAAGGGUGCGUAGGUGGCUAUUUAAGUCGGAUGUGAAAGCCCGGGGCUCAACCUCGGAAUUGCAUUCGAUACUGAGUGGCUAGAGUUCGGUAGAGGGCGGCGGAAUUUCCGGUGUAGCGGUGAAAUGCGUAGAUAUCGGAAGGAACAUCAAUGGCGAAGGCAGCCGCCUGGGCCUGGACUGACACUGAGGCACGAAAGCGUGGGUAGCAAACAGGAUUAGAUACCCUGGUAGUCCACGCCGUAAACGAUGAGAACUUGACGUUGGUCGUUUUACGAAUCGGUNUCGCAGCUAACGCGAUAAGUUCUCCGCCUGGGGAAUACGGCCGNAAGUGAACUACAAGAUGACGNNGNGAGNGCGAGACGACGACGAGGAGAG